UACGGAGGGAGCUAGCGUUAUUCGGAAUUACUGGGCGUAAAGCGCGAUCGUAGGCGGCUUUGUAAGUAAGAGGUGAAAGCCCAGAAGCUCAACUCUGGAAUUGCCUUUUAGACGUGCAUCGCUUGAAUCAUGGAGAGGUCAGUGGAAUUCCGAGUGUAGAGGUGAAAUUCGUAGAUACUUCGGAAGAAACACCAGUGGCGAAGGCGGCUGACUGG
rnacentral:rRNA from 1 species